rnacentral:rRNA from 1 species
AGUGAACGCUGGCGGUAGGCCUAACACAUGCAAGUCGAACGGCAGCACAGUAAGGGCUUGCUCUUACGGGUGGCGAGUGGCGGACGGGUGAGGAAUACAUCGGAAUCUACUUUUUCGUGGGGGAUAACGUAGGGAAACUUACGCUAAUACCGCAUACGACCUACGGGUGAAAGCAGGGGAUCUUCGGACCUUGCGCGAUUGAAUGAGCCGAUGUCGGAUCAGCUAGUUGGCGGGGUAAAGGCCCACCAAGGCGACGAUCCGUAGCUGGUCUGAGAGGAUGAUCAGCCACACUGGAACUGAGACACGGUCCAGACUCCUACGGGAGGCAGCAGUGGGGAAUAUUGGACAAUGGGCGCAAGCCUGAUCCAGCCAUACCGCGUGGGUGAAGAAGGCCUUCGGGUUGUAAAGCCCUUUUGUUGGGAAAGAAAAGCAGCAGGUUAAUACCCCGCUGUUCUGACGGUACCCAAAGAAUAAGCACCGGCUAACUUCGUG